AGUCAACCUACCCUAUGGACGGGAAUAAUCUCGGGAAACUGAGGAUAAUGCCCGAUAGAACACUAUGCCUGGAACGGUUUGUGUUCCAAAUGAUUUAUCGCCGUAGGAUGGGACUGCGGCCUAUCAGUUUGUUGGUGAGGUAAUGGCCCACCAAGACUAUUACAGGUACGGGCUCUGAGAGGAGUAGCCCGGAGAUGGGUACUGAGACACGGACCCAGGCCCUAUGGGGCGCAGCAGGCGAGAAAACUUUGCAAUGUGCGAAAGCACGACAAGGUUAAUCCGAGUGGUUCCUGCUAAAGGAACCUUUUGACGGUCCUAAAAACACCGUUGAAUAAGGGGUGGGCAAGUUCUGGUGUCAGCCGCCGCGGUAAAACCAGCACCUCAAGUGGUCAGGAUGAUUAUUGGGCCUAAAGCAUCCGUAGCCGGCUCUGUUAGUUUUCGGUUAAAUCUGUACGCUCAACGUACAGGCUGCCGGGAAUACUGCAGAGCUAGGGAGUGGGAGAGGUAGACGGUACUUGGUAGGAAGGGGUAAAGUCCUUUGAUCUAUUGAUGACCACCUGUGGCGAAGGCGGUCUACCAGAACACGUCCGACGGUGAGGGAUGAAAGCUGGGGGAGCAAACCGGAUUAGAUACCCGGGUAGUCCCAGCUGUAAACCAUGCAAACUCAAUGAUGCACUGGCUUGAAGCCAGUGCAGUGUU
rnacentral:rRNA from 1 species